GCGGAGGAAAAGAAACCAACAGGGAUUGCCCCAGUAACGGCGAGUGAAGCGGCAAAAGCUCAAAUUUGAAAUCUGGCCCCCCCGGGCCCGAGUUGUAAUUUGCAGAGGAUGUUUCUGGCGCGGCGCCAGCCGAGUCCCUUGGAACAGGGCGCCACAGAGGGUGAGAGCCCCGUAUGGCUGCGCGCUAAGCCUUUGUGAAACUCCCUCGACGAGUCGAGUAGUUUGGGAAUGCUGCUCAAAGCGGGAGGUGUACGUCUUCCAAAGCUAAAUACCGGCCAGAGACCGAUAGCGCACAAGUAGAGUGAUCGAAAGAUGAAAAGCACUUUGAAAAGAGGGUUAAAAAGUACGUGAAAUUGUUGAAAGGGAAGCACUCAUGACCAGACUUGGGCCCGGCGGAUCAUCCAGCGUUCUCGCUGGUGCACUUCACCGGGCUCAGGCCAGCAUCAGUCCGCGCCGGGGGAAAAAGGCUUCGGGAAUGUGGCUCCCCCGGGAGUGUUAUAGCCCGCUGCAAAAUGCCCCGGGGCGGACUGAGGCAGGCGCGAUCCGCAAGGAUCCUGACGUA
rnacentral:rRNA from 1 species